UACGUAGGGGCCUGGCGUUGUCCGGAAUUAUUGGGCGUAAAGAGCUCGUAGGCGGCUUGUCACGUCGGGUGUGAAAGCCCGGGGCUUAACCCCGGGUCUGCAUUCGAUACGGGCUAGCUAGAGUGUGGUAGGGGAGAUCGGAAUUCCUGGUGUAGCGGUGAAAUGCGCAGAUAUCAGGAGGAACACCGGUGGCGAAGGCGAGUCCCUGGACAACACCUGACACUGAGGCACGAAAGCUAGGGGAGCAAACAGG
rnacentral:rRNA from 1 species